CUGGCACUGUCCCUCCAUUCAGUGGUGCACCAUGUUUGUGCAGUAUGCCACAAAAUAAGAGUCCCUGGCCACCCACAGUCCGGCCCCUUCAGUAUGUGUAGCUAAGGCAGAGAUUACACACUUCCUUGUUGUCAUACCCAUUCAUACCGUCAGUUGGAACUCUGACAGGCUAAAAGCAGUCAGCUGACACUCUCAGCCAAUCACAGCUGC